UUGAAUGAACCUUAUUCUCCUGCUAGAAAGAAGGGUUUUCUGGGACUUAUACAAUUUAAAAGCAAAUUAAAACACUUGUGUCUGUCCUAAGUUGAUUGCAAAGCAAAAUGUUUUUAUGGUAGUGUAAUUAAAAAGAGAAAGCUUUCUUAUUUAGUUAGUUUUAAUUGGACAAUUCAGAAAAGCCAUCUAGAGUUGGGUAGUCCCUAGAGCAGAGGUUUGUAAGCAGAUAAUAAAUAGGUUAGCUGCUAGGAUCAUGAUAGAUGAGCAGCAACUCAGAUAUAAUCUGAAACUGUUAGUUCCUUAUCAGCACUUGUGUUAUAGAAGGUUUUCACUUGAGAAUUUUGGGGUCUUUUUUUGUUUGUUUGUUUGGUUGGUUGGUUGGUUGGUUUUUUGUUUUAAUUACUUGGUUAGCAUGAGCUGCUUAGAUUUGUUACAUAAAACCUUAUGUGUACAAGGAUCAUUGACUUAACUGACAGUAUAAAUUUGUCAAAGUCAUUCUGUGGCUUUGCAUCUUUCACAUAUUUUGUUGGUUUGGUCUUUAGACCAUUUGGCAGCUUGAACCUCUGCUGUGAUAGGAAAAGAUCUCAUAUUAAAGUGGAUCAUGGAGAGAAGUUUUGAGUUUAGCUUUUUUUUUAGUCCUCACUUUUUAUCAGUCUUAAGUUUAAAGUUUUAAGACUAUCUUUAUUCAGACUCAUUUUUUAAAAAAGUUUAUCCCUUUAAAAAUUAAUAAAAUCCAUAAUUUAAUAUCACAGCAGAAUCUGUCUUCAAGUUUUUACCUUUUCUGUUCUGCUAUCAAAGUCUAACUUUACUUUUUAUUCCUCUAGUCUUUUAGUUUUUUCUUUCUUAUAUUUAAAAAUAGUCCUAAUACUCUAAUUUCAUAUUUUUCAUGCUGUGCCUGCAGCUUUAAGUUAUGGUUUGAGUAGUAAUCUUUUGGCUUGGGGUUGGGAAGAUGAAUUUUUUUUAACAUAAAAAGUAAUAUUAGAUGUGUUAUAAAUGUGAGAAGACAGCUUGUGGAAAUAAAUCCUUGGGAAAGCACUUAGAUUGAAUCAUUGAACUCUGAAAUGGAUUUACUGGAAAGUUGGUGCUACUAUUUUUCUAGGCACUCUACUUGUGACAGUUAAGUGUAGAUUGAGCCCAGGGCUCAGCACAUUAGAGACUUACUUAAGGAAGAAAUCAUUUCUUCAAUUUUUCCUCUGCAGUGGUGGUGACCGCGGUGGCUUCAAAAAUUUUGGUGGUAAGUGCUGAGUAUCCCAAAAUGUUUCAGUGGAAAUGCUAUAUAAAUCUAAAAGCCACCAAUAUCCCGCAGAUGCAGUCUAAGCCCUUCUUACUCUGUUGAGGCUCGUGUGUUGUGUGCAUUACAAAGUACUCUCUGUAUACACUCUUAUAUCCAAGUACAUAUUAAAAGCCAAAUCUGAUCUCAAGUAGUCCAAUGCGUUCUCUACACAGUGUAUUGCAUGAAAGAGUCUGUGACCGAUGAAUGAGGAAUUCACUGGGUUUUGACAAUAGGGUUUUUUUUCCUUUUAUAAAGGUAGCUGACGUGGUGUUUUAAAUUAUUAGGGGUUUCCAAUCAGCCUUACAACAGUGCUUGACAGAAGUGAUACUAGAAUAAUAACAAAAGUGGGUGCUGUCUUGGACAAGGCUAAAGAAAUGUUGGCAUUCGUCUUGAUUUCCUAAACUUUAAAUAAUAAACAUUUAUGUAGUUAUUUUUAAACCUGUGAUGGUUGACUUUCAAGGAUAUUAAGUUCUGACUUUACAUGCUUUGGUUAUUACCGUUUCCUUUUUAAUUUCAAAUAAGUUGUCUUAGACAGCCUUUCCUUUUCUUCUCCCAUAGGUCACAGGGAUUAUGGACCCAGACCAGAUGCUGGUAAGAUUCUUGAUAGUUUGGUUUCCUACCUCUGGAAGAGGAAUUAAUGUGUUUGGAGGGAGGUUUAAUUUAAUUUAAUUUAAUUUAAUUUAAUUUAAUGGUGCUGCCAGAUCUGGGGAAUUUGACUUAAAAUAAUAAUUUAGUGAUCUGAUUAGAAAGCUUGCUGGAGAAACUGCUGUGUUUGUGCUUUGUUGCUUGAAGAAACAUUCAAAUUUGUUCUGCUAAUAAGCAUUAAUGCAGUCUAAAGAGAAAUUUGUUAUCUUAGCAAUGUAGAGGUAAAAAGCUGUUUAAAUCUUUCAUUGAAUUAGUUUUAAUGGGCAUAAGAAAGUUGUUCAUGUACAAGGGAAUUGUCUUUCUCCGGGUAGAAGUUACUAAUUUUAUGUAGCGUUUCAUUUUUAGAUGAAUUAAAGGCUAUAGACUUGCUUUUGGAGCCUUUUGAAAGUUAGGAUUUAGAGGUUAAAAUCUAUUUGAGUAAAAAUAUUUAAUAUAUAUUGAAAUCAGAACUUUUGUUUUUAUUAAGAUGCCAAAGUAUUCUAUAUGGAUGGCAAUUUCUGAAUUAUCCCUUGAUGGACUGAAUUUUUAUACAACUUUCUUACUUUGUUGUACUAAUCCAAAAGUGUGCGUGUAAGGUAAGGUGUGUGUACCAGGUGCUCUUACCUUCUGAUAUAUACAAGGCUUUUUGCAGUGAAUGGGAAACCAGCAAUUCUGCUUGGCUGGCUGGCUUGAGUGUCAAGUCUCCAAUUUGGGGGAAUUGUAUACUAGAAAGCCUUUUAAAAGUAUUGAUUUGUCAGACGUAUGACUAUAUAAUUGAAAGUUCUUCAGAGAAAGGUAUGCUAAUUAACCUUCUUCAUCUCUUCAUGAGCUUUAGUCCUGGAUCUGAAGAGUGAUAUUUUUAACAUCGCCCUUUAUUGGUCUUUAUGUAUUUCAGAGUAACCUGCACUUUACCUGUAGUUUUGUUGUAAGAAUUGAUCUUCCAUACAACUACUGUGAACACUUUGCAUGUUUAUAUAAGGCUAUAUGUUGGUCCUUAUAUUUGGUGCUUAGAAGCAGUCCAUUACUAGUCAAUAAAUUGUUUUUGAUUACCGAACAGGAUGUAGUAAUUUAAGGGAUAUGUUUAUGAAAUUGACCAUAACUUUUCCUCCUUAGAUUCAGAGUCUGAUAAUUCAGAUAACAACACAAUCUUUGUGCAAGGACUUGGGGAGGGUGUGUCUACAGAUCAAGUGGGAGAGUUCUUUAAGCAAAUAGGAAUUAUCAAGGUAAGUUAAAAGUGUCACAUUGAAGAUUUCAUAAUUGUUAAUAUUCACAUAAGAUACAUACAUUGCAUUGUAAGUCUAUAUACCCUAGUAAGCAUUAUCUAAAUCCUUUAAUGCAUGUACUUCCCAAAGUCUGUAGGCCUUUGCUAAGUGUCUUAUUUAGCUUUCUAUUGCUGUUAUAGACUAUUCUGGCCAAAAGAAACUUGAGGAGGAAAGGGUUUAUUUUUUUUUUUGGCUUAUCUUAGUCCAUCAUUGAAGGAAGUCAGGGCAGGAACUGAAGUAGAGACCAUGGAGGAACACACUUACUUGCUUGUUUCUCAUGGUUUGCUCAGCAUGCUUUCUUAGACCAUGCAGGAUCAUCUCUUCAGAGGUGGCAGUGUCUCCAGUGGGCUGAGCCCUCCCACGUCAGUCAUCAACCAAUCUGGUGGAAGCAUUUUCUCAAUUGCUGUCCUCUUUCCAGAUGAUUUUAGCUAAAGUCAAGUUUC
rnacentral:lncRNA from 1 species